rnacentral:rRNA from 1 species
AUUGAACGCUGGCGGCAGGCCUAACACAUGCAAGUCGAACGAGUGGCGGACGGGUGAUUAAUGUCUGGGAAACUGCCUGGUGGAGGGGGAUCACUACUGGAAACGGUAUCUAAUACCGCAUACCCUCGGAUGUGCCCAUAUGGGAUUGGCUAGUAGGUGGGGUAAAGGCUCACCUAGUCGACGAUCCCUAGCUGGUCUGAGAGGAUGACCAGGCAAACUGGAACGGAGACACGGUCCAGACUCCUACGGGAGGCAGCAGUGGGGAAUAUUGCACAAUGGGCGCAAGCCUGAUGCAGCCAUGCCGCGUGUAUGAAGAAGGCCUUCGGGUUGUAAAGUACUUUAAGUUGGGAGGCGGUACCAACAGAAGAAGCACCGGCUAACUUCGUGCCAGCAGCCGCGGUAAUAC